UGGGCGUGGUGGAUCCAAGGCACAUAAAGAUGGGUAGUAGAAAGUAUUACAGAUAUAUGGGCUCUCUCACCACUCCACCAUGCACACAAGGCGUUGCAUGGAAUGUAGUCAAGAAGGUGAAUACGAUUUCAAGACAGCAGCUGAUCCUCUUGAGGGCUGCAGUUCACAGUAAAGCAGCGGCGAACGCAAGGCCGACACAGCCCAUUGAUAAACGAAGUGUUCACCUCUACACCGCAAAGCGUC